rnacentral:piRNA from 1 species
UCAGUGUUCUCAUCUGUGUCCAAAGGGCCUUA